UACAGUAUCCCUUUAUUAGUACGUUAUAGCUAAUAAUGUCGGUCUCAAUGCCCUUAUCUAUCAUGAUACUAAAAAUUCUCCUUGCUCUAUCUAGUUGACCACGCAAACAAUAUCCAUCCAUCAAUGCAUUGUAGGUGAUUGUAUUAGGCUCUACACCCUUUUCGACCAUGUGUUUCAUUACUUCCUCAGCAUCUUUGACUUUCCCUUCUUUGCAUAGUCCAUCUGUUAUUAUGUUUAAGGUAUGCACAUCUGGAUAAAUAUUAAGGUUCACCAUCUCAUAGAACAAACUCGUAACCUUUUCCCACUGACCAAACUUACACAAACCAUCAAUUAUUGAAUUAUAUGUGACUAUGUCUGGAGGAAUGUCUUUCUGCUUCAUCUCGUUCAGAAUAUUGAUAGCAGCAUCUAAGUUUCCAUCUUUGCAAAGAGCAUCUAUAACAAUGCUGUAGAUAUAUAUGGUGGGCUCAGUAUUACCUUGUUCCAUUAACCGGAGCAAACUUAAAGUCUUCUGAGUAUGACCCCUUUUGCUUAGCCCAUUCAUGACGAUUGCAUACAUGACUUCGUCAGGCUCACAAAUCUUGUCUCUCACCAACUUCUUGAACAAUUCAACUGCAUCUUUGACCUUAUUUUGAGCAAAGAUUCCUUUUAAUAGGGUGUUAAAGGUAACAGUAUUAAAUGGAAUGCCAUUCUUCAAGUAAAUGGGUAACACCGAAAAUGCACAAUCAACCCGAUACAUCAGGCAAUAACUAUUAAUCAUGAUAUUUAAGAUGAAAUCACUAAUUGGGAUGCCCAAUUUCAGCAUUUGUCGAAAAAGAGAAAGGGCACCAGAGUAAUGUUUCAUCUUUAUCAUAGUCUUAAACAAUUGAGAGAAAUGGACAACUGAAGGAAGAGGCUUCAUUGUAACCAUUUGAUGGAAGAGAGUAACAGCAUCAUCUAAAUUGCUACUAUUUACACCAAAUUUAUCCAUUACUGAAAUGGAUUUUUUACUGUAACGGCAUGAAGAAUAAGCUCUAAUUGUAAAUGCCGAACCAGAAAUGGAAGAGAUAAAGGGAAUACCAUUGCAAUUGCGCAGAGAAAUCCUCCUCAUCUUCUUCAAUGGCUGUAUCUCCGUGUGCCCUAAUUUUGCAAGAAACUAAUACAUUCAGCUUCUUUGGAUUUUUUUUUUGUUUGCCAUUCGCUCAUUCCCAUCCCUAAUAUUAGAGCACGACUAAAUUUAAAUUUACCUCGAAAAAUCUUAGCAACCAUCCAAAAAAAGGCAAGUGUCGUUACGCUGUUAAUUUAUUUUUUUUCAUUUUAUUUUUGAAUUAUUAUUUAAUAAUCUUAUUGUAUACUGUUAUUUUUUUUUAAAAAAAAUAUUGUGUACCCUAUGUUUAUUUAUAGUGUUAUAAAUUUAUUCUUUAUAUUAUUGAUGUGUGAUAUUAUGUAACAACAUAAUCGAUACAUUUCAUUCAAAUAUUAUAUUAACUAAAACAAUACAAUAUAUUAUGUAACAAUAUAUAAUAAUCAUCAAAACAAUCUGCAAUUAAUACACUAUGAAAGGUUGUUUGCUUGCUCGUUAAGAAGUAAGUUAUUUAUGUAUUAAAAUUAAUAUUAUAACUAAUAACAUGCUUAAGAUUAGUAUUUUAGUUGCUAUGCAUAAAAUUAAAUACGUUAAUUGAUUACCAUUUUACAAUCUCACAAAUUAUUAUAAAUGUAUAAACUAGGUGAGAUCUAUUUAGUCCCCCCUUGUCCCCCUAUUUACUUGUCAAUUUUUGACUUGACACACCUAUUAAGAAAAUAAUAAUUGACAUAAUGAGUUUACUAUUUUAUUCUUAUUAAUUGAUAGAAUUUCAAAAUCAAGUUACUCAUUAAAGGGGUUCUACCUUUUUCAAAAACAUUAACUCUCUAAAUAAAUUGAGCGUAUAAUAAAUUAAAAAAAAUAUUAUCUUUUCUUAAUUUGUCAAAAAUGACAAGUAGAAAGGGACAAAUAAAGAAUCAAAAUUGAACAAGUAAGAACGUUACAUAGGAGAAAAAUAAAAUGAAGUAUACUACAUGAAUAAUUAAGUCUUCAUCUAGGUGAAUAACUCUAACUAGCGAAAAAACAACCCCUUAAAGGGUAAUUUGUUAUGUAUAAAAUAACUCUUACUUAAAAUAUACAUUUUAAUUAUUUGGAUUUGAACAUGAGAUCUUAUGAUUCUCAAUCCACUUUAUCGAUCAAUUAUACCACCCCCUUGAUAAGUCAUAUUUUUGGAAAACACAACUUUUUUUUUGACCUAACAGAGAAGGCAUGAUUAUAGAUGUUGAAGGAUAUUCAGAAAAUGUGUCUUAUUUCAUGAAACAUGCAUUUAUCUCAGUUAGUUAGAACUCAACUUAAAAUUAAAUUCAAAUGAUUCUAAAGACUAACUUCAUAAACUAAACUUAGAAGGAAAUAUAUGUGUUACUCAAAUCUUAAAGUGUUUACAAGAUUGAAUAUUUCAUAGACAACUAAAAACAUACUCCCUCCGUCCCUAUUUACUUGUCCAUAUUUCCUUUUUUGGUUGUCCCUAUUUAGUUGUCCAUUUUGACAAAUCAAGAAAGGACAACAAAUUUUUUCCUAUUAUACCCUUAUUUACACUUCUUGAAAAUUGUAAAAGUGUAUGUUGUUUCCCUCCAAUUUAUUUCACUUGAAUUCAAAUAAGUGGUUGUAAUUUUGAAGUGAAAAGUUGUCAUAGGGUAAAAUUGUAACUUCACUGUGCUAAUCAUUGUUGCCUUAAUCUGUGUGCCAUUUCUAAAAUGGACAACUAAAAAGGGAUGGAGAGAGUAUCUGAUAGUCAAAGAUGCGUAGUACAUGUGUUGUUGGUGGGAGGUAGCAUGUACUUGCUGAAUAGUUGAAGGUACACACAAGUGGGUCAGAACAGUACCGUCAUUAAAAAAAAAUUAAUGACAACUAUGAUAAAGCUAACACAUGGAGAUAUGAUCAUGUAACAAUUUCAACAUUACAUUUGCGUCCACGCAACCAAAGUUCUCAUAACAGAAGCAACAUUAUUACACCCCAGACUAAUAAGUGCAUUAGAAAGAUUAGUUACCAUACCUAAAGAAUUGGUAAGUGUGCAUUUAAGUACAACAACAAAACAAAUAAGUCUCAAUCCCAAAUCCCUGGAUUUUCACUAAUCACAUCAUACAAUAAAAGCACAUGGAUAAUGUAAAACCCAAAAUCUUGGGUUGUAAAACAUAAACUUUAUAUUUAUUGAUAACCGUGGUGUCUAGGCCAACUACAAGUGACUAGUUGCACCAGUUGAUAAGGAUGCUCCAGAAACAAUGUCAGCUUGAUAAAUAUACUUCCUCUUUUCGAAUAGGAAUUGAUUUGAUCUUAUUAUUAGAAUAUUCAGAUUCAAUAGAAAAUACUGUUUUCAAGAAGGAAUCACCAUCACCAGUGGAAGUUGAACCUGGCGAUCUCUAUCUCCUCAAGUAUGGAAAAAGGAAGAAAAAGCAGCCAAACACAGGGAAGGAAAUAGAGAAGGUAAGGGACCACUUUCCUUGUUCAAGCUGGUAUUUAAUGAGUAAGUAGUAAGUAAGUGAGAAGUCGAUUCUUUUAUCGUUGAGAAAACAGAUCACUUGCUAAGAUGCUUUCAAUUUUACUUGUGCUUAUAUAUCAAAACCUAAUCCCUGUUCAAACUACCUCAUCUGUUCUCUAACUGUGAGUCCAAAGCCAAACUUGUAGUCUUCUUUUUUGAUUGACCUGAACAAGCGAUAAAGAACACAUUUAGGACAAUAAUGAAAGUUAUACAGCCAAACUGUGAGAGAUUGAUUGUAUUCGAAUUAGUAAAAGCAAGAAGGAAAAUAAUAGAUAGAGGGGUGUGCCCCUUAUCUACCAAGUUUUUAUCCAUGCGCCUCUCAGAAAAAAGGUGGGAGGAAAUCAAGAAGCUUUUCAUAUUUCGGCAUCAUUGAGGGACGGAGUAACAUCCUCAACCCAAAAUUAAAGUCAUUGGGAACAUGUAUUCUGUGAAGGAGCCACGACAAGAUAGAGAAGUCAAGAUGCAACCUACCUUGGCUGAUAAAAUGAAAUUAAGACCCACGUUCAAGCGCUCUUCCAAGAAACCAGCAACACAUCCAUCUUCCUUCUGAGACAACAUUGUAAUGAAUGCAUCAUAUUGAAACACUAUGUUAAAUUCAUGAUAACCAUGGUUGAUUAGAAGUCCUAAUGUUGUUGCAAUGAAGCCACAAAAGCAAGAUCAACUAAACGAGUUCUCAAAACUAUUGCAUAACGCAUAAUAGCAGCCCACAAAAAGUGUCUAUAUGACUAUUGUGCACCAAAGGGUGUGGCCUAGGAGUCAAUGAAGUGGAUUAAGAACCAUGUGGUCUCGAAUCAAAUCCCAGUGAAGGCAAAAAAGAUAGUUGAUCUCUUUCCAUCUAUAUAACCCUUGGUGGACAAAAUUACAGGUACCAUUGUUGGUGGGAGAUAGUAGGUACACCGUGAAAUUAGUAUAGGUGUGUGUUAGUUGGCCCGAACACCAUUGAAAUCCAAUACAAUAAAACAAAAGUUUUUAAUGUCUACAAUGAAAGUCAAGAGAAUUACUUUAGUUAUAUGCUAGUGCGAACUAGAUUCAUUUAAUAUAUUCAGGUUAAUAGCACAAAUUUCCAUAGUUCGAUCAUAAUUAGGGGUUGGCAUGGUAUGGUAGAUACCAAAACUGAAAUUUUUGACACCACACUUCCAAUAUUAUGAUAUUUGGCAUGCCUAUUUAAAAUUUUUGGUAUUCGACAUUUAUAACAAGAAUACUCAGUGCAACUUUUCCACUAUUACCCUUUUGAUUAUUUUCAAACUAGUCUCCUAGAAAAUGUUAAAAAGUUAAGAAUCUCAUUAAAUGAAGAGUAACUAUGGAAAAGAGUUCCAACAAUUUUCGUGAACUUUGAAUAAUUCGCUUACUUUGAACUACGAAAAAAGUCUCAAUAAUUCACUUAAUUUGGACUACACGGAGUAAUGUGACACAUAAGGGAACUUACCACUAUUCCUUUUUUAAGAAUAUCAGUAUGGUCACCAUUUUUUCUCAUAUUAAGAGUGCAAUGACAUUUGAUUUCUAAGAAAAAGAAGAAUGGUAAGAAAAACUCAAACCAAAUUGAUGUACCUCCUCAUUAGGUUGUGUUGAAAGCUCAAACAAUGUUCUAAUUGCCAUCAACUUUAGCAAAUGCAUAGGCUGUCAUUUCUUUUGCAGGGAUAAAAGGAAAUUGUAUGACAGCGAUAGCGUAGCCGAAUAAACCAAACAAAAUAUCACUUCUUAUUUUUUGAGUGAAGCUCUGGUAUCAUGUCAAGGACAGAAGGAUUCUCCCUUACAACAUCUAUCAAAAAACCAGUUGUAGUUGCAUCAAAUGAGAAGCCCCUUCCAUCCAUUUCCUUCAUAAAAGAUGCCAUUUCACUAAUUUUGUUGCACCUGAGAAAUCCUUUCACAAUAACAUUAUAAGUGACAUUGUUUGGAGAACAACCGUUGUCUUCCAUUUUUCUUAGAAUAUAUUUAGCUUCAUCAAACAACCCUUCAAGACAAAAUCCAUUAAUCAUUAUAGUGUAUGUUAUCACAUCCGGGAGUAAUCCAAUGAAAGAAAGCUUCUUGAAAACAGCAUGCGCUUCGUGGAGUUUACCAUUUUUGCACAAUCCGUUAAUGACAACACUAUAAAAUGCAAUAUUAGUAUACUCUUUGUUUCUUUCUAACUUAUUAAAGAGUGCCAUAGCUUCUUCAACAAGUCCGUACUUAUAAUAACCAUUGAGCAAAGUGACAUGACUGUAUAUAUCAGGCUUGGUCCCUGCAGAUAGCAUCUCAGCGUAAAUUUGCUUUGCAUCACCAGUUCUUCCAACUUCAGAAAGACCUUGCAAGAUCGUAUUGUAGGUCAAAUUAUUGGGUUUUGAUCCCUUUUGAGAAAUUUCACAAAACAAUUGCAUGGCCUCAUCCACUUUCUUUUUCUUACAGUAUCCCUUUAUUAGUAUGUUAUAGCUAAUAAUGUCGGUCUCAAUGCCCUUAUCUAUCAUGAUACUAAAAAUUCUCCUUGCUCUAUCUAGUUGACCACGCAAACAAUAUCCAUCCAUCAAUGCAUUGUAGGUGAUUGUAUUAGGCUCUACACCCCUUUUUCGACCCAUGUGUUUCAUUACUUCCUCAGCAUCUUUGACUUUCCCUGCUUUGCAUAGUCCAUCUGUUAUUAUGUUGAAGGUAUGCACAUCUGGAUACAUAUUAAGGUUCACCAUCUCUGAGAACAAAGUUUAACCUUUUCCCACUGACCGAGCUUACACAAACCAUCAAUUAUUGAAUUAUAUGUGACUAUGUUUGGAAGAACGUCUUUCUGCUUCAUCUCGUUCAGA
rnacentral:lncRNA from 1 species